GGCCUAUGGGUUGUAAACCUCUUUUUUCAGGGAGGAAUMAAUGACGUGUACCUGAAGAAUAAGCAUCGGCUAACUCCGUGCCAGCAGCCGCGGUAAGACGGAGGAUGCAAGUGUUWUCCGGAAUCACUGGGCGUAAAGCGUCUGUAGGUGGUUUAAUAAGUCAACUGUUAAAUCUUGAGGCUCAACYUCAAAAUCGCAGUCGAAACURUUAGACUWGAGUAUAGUAGGGGUAAAGGGAAUUUCCAGUGGAGCGGUGAAAUGCGUAGAUAUUGGAAAGAACACCGAUGGCGAARGCACUUUACUGGGCUAUUACUAACACUCAGAGACGAAAGCUAGGGUA
rnacentral:rRNA from 1 species